GAAGGUGUAGCUCAGCAGCAGAGCACGCGCUUCGCAUGCACGAGGUCCUGAGUUCAGUCCCCGGCACCUUCA
rnacentral:tRNA from 1 species